CUGCAUUUCCAUCCAAGUUCUUUGCCAUUUUAUAACAAAGAUUGCCUUUUCUCCAUUGUCCAAUAACAUUUUCCUCACUUCCAUCUGAGACCUCACC